CUUUUGCCUUGUGCUUUUGUCACAAAGAGGGAGAAGAAAACAUGCCAAAAAGGCAUGAAGCUUUGGGCAAUCUGCCCAUAGAGAAAAUAAAGAGAAAAAGGAAAGAAAACAACAUGAAAAGCAAAUGACCUUGGGCAAUCCGCCCAUAGAGAACAAAAUGGAGAAACCAAAGGCAUUUUCAAGUCUUUUGCCUUGAGAGAUCCGUCACUACCAAGAAGAAAGAGAAAGGAGAAGAAAAAAGGAAGCGAAAGGAAGAAAGGAAGGAGAGAAAGGGAGAAAGGAAGAAGAAGAAAAGGAAAAGGAGGGUUCGGCUUAGUGAACCCGAGGCAAGAACCCAGAUGGAUUCAAAGGACCCGAGGCAUGCAUGCAAGUAGAUCUUAGAGUUCAUGGUGAUAUUGGAUGCUAUUGUGAGAUAGUGAUCAGCCUGGCUUGUAUUCAUCAACCUUUUCAGCCCACCGCGGAUAGGUAAAGGCAUCUCAUAGCACUUUAUUCUAAGUCACUUUGCUGGUAGAGGUCGAGUCUUUAUAUAAUAAUUUGUUACGGGAUUAGACAAUAGUGUCAAUACAAAUGUACAUUUGGAGAUUAUAAGUCAUGUAUUAUUUUGAGAACUAUGUGGAAUAAAGGUUUAUUCAAUUUGUAAAGAAUAUUGUUCAAUUCCUAUCACAAAG